GGGCGCCGAACAGGGACCUGGAAACGAGGGACUCCAGUGAGAAGAGGACGCCAAAGGACGGUCGACCGCUAACAAGGACAAAAUAAAUUAAACUCUUCCGAUCACCGCGGAACCUGCCGCAUCUGAAUCGAAGGUAAGUGGCGCGUCCGAAAUGGGACAAGAAUUAAGUCAGCAUCAGAUCUAUGUAGGACAAUUAAAAGAGGCUUUAAAGAUAUGAGGAGUAAAGGUUAAAGGUAAUGAUUUGUUUAAGUUUUUUGAUUUUGUAAAAGACACUUGCCCUG
rfam:Papio anubis isolate 1X1155 chromosome 17, whole genome shotgun sequence.